rnacentral:lncRNA from 1 species
UUGUUUUUUUUUUUUUUUGGUUGAAAAGAAAGUUGGGAUUUUUUUAAAUUAUUUUGCGGAUAAAUUGUCUUUUGUGCCCUCAUGAGGCACAUUUUAAGGAAUUUAUAAAAUACAGAUCGACGGUUGAUAGCAAUAUGAACAAGUUUAUGCAUUACUUAUUAUAAUCCGCCGUUUGAAGAAGAGCAACAAUAUCAAAACAUUUUUUGUUGCUGUGAAAUUCUGCUCUAACGACUUGCAAAGCAUUAAGUGUUACCUCGCGGACAAUAAGCCUGUAAAAGGUACUGGUCCGCCCUUCGGCAUCCCUCAAAGCAGUUUGCAAUGUUCUGUCAAGGAAGUGGUAGCCAAGCUUGAGGACAUUGAACCUGUGAAAGAUACUGUUUUACUGGAAUUCAUCCGUGAUUGCAUUCAACGAAGGCCUUCCAACAUGAUAUAUGUACAAUAUGUAUAAACGUUCGAGCAUGGAUCUUGCAUUAAAAUUAGUAAACAUCAAAGAAGUGCCAGGAUUUACUUAAACGAGUAGUGUAUCAAGGCUUGUGCGUAUGGUAGGAUAUCUAGAAACUCCAUAAGAUUUCUUUUCUCUUUUGACGUGAGCGUACAAAUUUUGAAGCUUGAAUGGGAAACUCCUAACAACUCAAAUGGUCACCGCAAUAUUGAUCAAUUCAAUGCUUUAUUCAUAGUAAGAAAACCGUACCUCCUGUUAUUAGCGCUCCCUUCUGGCGAUCAUAAGCUGUUAAUGCUGUUUACAGUUAGGAGCAGAUUUUUCAUUUCUCUCUUCGAUGCAG